AAGAAAGAAAGAAAGAAAGAAAGAAAGAAAGAAAGAAAGAAAGAAAGAAAGACCCCAUAAAACCAGCAAAAAUUUUAAAAUAAAAAAUCAAUUCAUUCUGCUUCUAGGGACCACAUUAGCGGGAAACAGAGAGAUAACAGUGCAUUCCAAACCUUGCCUUUCCGAUGAGUUAUUUUACACCUAGGUACCAAAUGAAUGCUCAAACAAACAGAAAUGACAUCAAGGAAAUUUGGUUCACUCUUCAGCAGCCUGCGCCGCAAGUCAAAACCGUGCCUAGCACGGAGUCGGCUGCUCUGGCCAGUCAUCCCGGGCUGGAGCUGAAGUUGGCAUUCUGCAUGCUUGCCAAAAUACACCUAAUAAAGAAUUUGCUAUACUUCAACCUCUGAAAACCUUAACAUUUAGUGAUCACAUGAAUUCUGGAUGAAAGAAACACAGGUUCUGUGUUCCCCUCUUCUGCUGCUCCUCUUGAUUUUCUGCCUUUGUACCUCUAAUAAGGAGACACGUUCUUAAUCGCACAAAACUGGUCAUUGGCUUUUUAUUAUUAUUUCCAGAGGAGGUACAUAGUGAGGGUGUAUAUGCACUGGAAGCUUGUGUGUAAAAAAUUAUAUUUUGUGUGUGUGUGUGCGUAUGCACAGAUAAAACUCUUAAGUUCUGGGGUUUUUUCUCUUAUGGGAAAAAAUUGUCAUGCCAUCUUCAAUUAUUUCACCAAAUAUUAUCUGUUUGAUGUUUGACGUUUUUUCAUUUCAAUAUUUGUCUUGCAGGGGAAACAAAAAAGUAAGAACAAAACGAAAAGUAACGAGAAAAGAAAAAGAAAGAAGAAAAUGAGAAAAUACUUCUACUAUACUCACAGUAGCUGCACCUUCACUUUUCUAAAAAAUAAUGUUUAUGUGUAGAACAAUAUGCAGUUCGGAUUAUUUACAUAUAGUAUAAGAAGACAGGGAUGAAGAGAAGUGGGAGAAAAUUUAAGUGUAAAAUGCUGAAUACUGGGUUUAGAGAAGGAUAGGUAUUAAAAACAUUGGUGGGGAGGAAAAAAAAAAAAGGACUAUAGGGAAAAAUGAAUGAGAAUAUGGAGAAAAGGAUUUAUUUCAGGCAUUUAUUAUUUACAACCCAGCAAUCUGUCUCAUGCAGCGGCGACCGCAAAUCAGAGCACUAUUAGAGCUGCUAUGUAUUCAUUUGUUUAUCUAUCCUUGGACGGGAAUCCAAAAAAUCGCCAACUUCGGCAUUUUAGUCAGCUUGGCUGAUUCGUGCAGAUGCGCAGCGGAACAUAGGCACCACUGGUUUUAGCGGUAAAUCCGAUAUUAGGCUGGUAUUGGACAAUGUGUAGGCGGGGUGACUGAGGAGAGGCGGGGACUGUAUUUGUUGCUCCUACUCCACCCGCCAUGUUUAAGUGUCAAGCGUCUGGAAUCUGAGGGACAGGCAGCUCUCCCCAUGCUGCCCGUGGCCCCGGCAGAGGCGCAGGCAGGGCAAGGAAGGGGUGCGCUGCCACCCGUCCAGCCCCAGAGCUGAUACAAAAGAGACCGCAGUGAUUCGCGGGGCCGCCGUGCAAUAAAGCGGGGCGAGGAGGGGAAAGGAGGGGGAGGGAAGCUACGAGGCGGACCCCCGGCAUCCUGGCGGGCGUUGGUCCGGGGGCGGAGGCGGCGGCUACCCCGUCCCGUCGGGGCUGCAGCGGGGCGCGGGGUGCGGGGGACGAUGCGGGUUGCGCUGCAGCGACAGAAAGAUGGACGGACCCACGCUCACUUUUGCCUCCCCGCACAUGCUAAUGCGGCUCCGCAAGGAAGCGACAGCUGCACGUGCGCACACGUGUGCUCAUUAAAAGGAUGUGGGCAGGGGAUGGGUUGCGCCGCGGGCCGGGAAUCCCCGGCAUCCGCUACUGGUAAAAAUGUGUAGAAAUGGUGCUUUCAUAAUGGAUUGCUGCUAUAUAUGGUAAGCCAGGCACUCGUGCUGAAUUCCCUCGGUUCGCUCGGGGAUCCUCACAGAGCUCUCUUUGUCCGCCGGCUCUCCGAAGACUGUGCCGGCAGGGAAUGCCCGUCUGCCCGGGGUUGCUGCGGGGCUCUCCUCUUGGAAACAUUCCGCGGAAGUCCGUGGCUGGGGCCUUGGCCUUGGGAAUCUUUGUAUGCCACCAGAGGCUCAACUCAACCCCUACAUGUGGGGUAAAAUCAUUCCCUGAUAAAGGCGAAGAUAUGGAGCUAUUUUUCAAGUCUAAACAACUCAGACCACAGGUAGUUACAGCUGCAAUGGUAAUUUUUGUUUGUUUGUUUGUUUGUUUAAUAAAAGUCAGACAAUAUUGUAUGCAUUACUAACAGAAUACAUGUCCUUUAAUGGCACAUGGUUUCCACGUGUAAUCACCUACUGUUUGUUUUUGUGACUUUAAAUUCUUGAUACUCUGUCUUUUCUUAUAUCUGAAUUUGGAUUUGUAGUAGAUACCCUUUUGCAUACACUAUGUUUAAUAUAAGAGAAGUAUAACUUUCAGUUGCCUGUAAAAUGAAAUUGUGGUCACAAAUGAAAUGAUAAGCCACCUUCAUUUGAAGGUGAGGCAGUUGAGUGACUUACCUGGAGAGGAGAAAAGGGAUGCUGCUCUGCAGAGAAAAAUGGCUUGGACCAUACUGGCAUGCCGCAUUGUUUACCUCUACAGGAAUUUUGUCAUAAAUUAGUGCAAAAAGGGAAUUUAUGUAACACUACACCCUUCUUAUGUACAUCACAGCAGUUUAAGUGGGGUUCCUGUGUGUCCUCCCAAAGAACGUGGGGUUGCUGGAGAUAGGAUGGGGGUCUGAUUGAAUAAUUAGAGAAUCAUAAGCAUUCCUCUUUAAAGUCAAUAGAGACGGUUUACUCUUAAGAAAUCCAUACAGGAUAUUUCUUCUUUACAUCACAGCCAUCUGGAGACCUAUAAAAAUAUUAGAAAACAAGCAUAGCCAUCUACAAGCCAUUAGCAGGAACUUGCUAGGGAGCGAGAAGGAAAAAGUCAGUGUUUUGUAUUCCAUAAUUUCCAAUAGGCAGGUAUUUCUACAGUGAUUUUGGAAUAAGUAAGUUUUAUACAAUUAUGUAAACUGGAAGAGAGUGGGCAGUGUUAACAGCUGCUUUUGACAAUCCAGGUGAUAUUUUGGGCAGAAUUUUCACAACGUGCUUUGCUUAAACUUUUGACAUGCUAGGCAACAGGCCAGUUUUAGAAAAGUGCUUUACAACUGCUGAAUAUAUUUUUGUAUUCAGAAUAAGCAAAUAGUUAAAUUCAUGAUGAUGUUGAGGCUCUUGGUGUUGCAGAGCUAGAAAAUGUAAUUGAUAAUAAGGCUAAUGAACAGCUGGGUCAUAACCACCACAUUGCCUCUUUUGAUGUGCUUAGGCUCCAAUGAUUAAUCAACAAAAUAUGUCAGGUGUAUUGCAGUUACUUCCCAAGCUAGUGUGUGAGGCUGUGAAAGCUUGGUGUUUUAGAAAUAUGCUUUGUCUCUUUGAAAAAAAUGCCAAUUUACAAUAACAUACCUUGCAUUUAAAUCUGGUGGUGUGACAGCUGGUGACAUGCAUGCAUUUAACAUGUAAGUAUGCAUCUGUGUUAAUAUGGCACAUAUGUACUUAGGCACACAUUUUAUUUGUCAGCUUAGAAGAGUAGCAGCAUGAAUUUUAACCUGGUAUUCCUUUAGGAGUUCUGAACAGCCUAUAGUCUGUGAUAAAUUUUUUGAUGUGUAUCUUAUACUAAACACAGCACACAAGAGUUGUUGAAGUGCAUUUAUUAAUUUCAACAGUAAACAGUACAUUACAGUAAGAAGGUUCAUUUUAUCAAAAAACUCAAGAGACCUUUAAUGUUUGCACUUGAGAAAUUUCUACGAAAAUUAUUUUGUUAAAUAAUUCAAAGUACAAUGUUCUUUUAGCAGGUGGCUGAAAGGGGGAGGAGGAGAAGCUGAGAGACUUAAAUUCUAAAACUCUACAUAAUGCAUCAAAACUUUUCUCUGUCGGUUCCAUGAGUAACACCAGCAUGCAGUUCUUUUCUCUUAGUAUGAGGUCAAUAAAAAUAAAAAUAAACCAGCGUUUUUAUUAAGGUGCCUCGUCAGAUGCAUGGUGCAUGGUCUUAGUAAAUAUUGCUGCAAUGUUCACCUGUGUUGCAUUCUAACACAGACACAAAAACACGCACAGGCUGGGAGGGAGUGGCGGGUGGAAAGAAGGGCAGAGAGAGGUUAUAGAAGCUACAGAAUAUGCUGAGCCUGCUGCUCGCAGCUUCCCACACAGACAGGCCUCGCACCACCGUCCCGUUGUAAAUACCUGAAUCACGAUGAGUGUGAAGCACGAGAGAGAUGAGUAAAAACAAAUUAAAAUGCACACCCCUUCUCUCCCUAAAGCAACUAACCAACCGACCCAAAAAAAAAAAAUCCUCCAUAGACACACAAAGACAGGACAAA